rnacentral:misc_RNA from 1 species
GAUGAAGAACGCAGCGAAAUGCGAUACUUGGUGUGAAUUGCAGAAUCCCGUGAACCAUCGAGUCUUUGAACGCAAGUUGCGCCCGAAGCCACUAGGCCGAGGGCACGCCUGCCUGGGCGUCACACGUCGUUGCCCCCCCCCAUCUACUCCUUCGGGAUUGCGGGGGGCGGAUGAUGGCCUCCCGUGCGCCUAGCCGCGCGGUUGGCAUAAAUACCAAGUCCUCGGCGACGCACGCCACGACAAUCGGUGGUUGCGAAACCUCGGUUGCCCGUCGUGUGCGUUCGUCGCGCAUCGAGGGCCCGAAAAAAUGCUCGGCUCCGGCUCGGCUUUCAACGCGACCCCAGGUCAGGCGGGGUUACCCGCUGAAUUUAAGCAUAUCAAUAAGCGGAGGA